UGGGGAAUAUUGCGCAAUGGGCGAAAGCCUGACGCAGCGACGCCGCGUGAGGGAUGAAGGUUUUCGGAUCGUAAACCUCUGUCAGAAGGGAAGAAACCGCACUGUGCUAAUCAGCAGUGCCUUGACGGUACCUUCAAAGGAAGCACCGGCUAACUCCGUGCCAGCAGCCGCGGUAAUACGGAGGGUGCAAGCGUUAAUCGGUAUUACUGGGCGUAAAGCGCACGUAGGCUGCUUUGUAAGUCAGGGGUGAAAUCCCACGGCUCAACCGUGGAACUGCCUUUGAUACUGCUUAGCUUGAAUCCGGGAGAGGGUGGCGGAAUUCCAGGUGUAGGAGUGAAAUCCGUAGAUAUCUGGAGGAACAUCAGUGGCGAAGGCGGCCACCUGGACCGGUAUUGACGCUGAGGUGCGAAAGCGUGGGGAGCAAACAGG
rnacentral:rRNA from 1 species